CGACUACAACCCCUACAACUACUCUGACACCAUCAGCGCCUACGACAAGGCUGCCCUGAGAGAGACGGUGUACGAGGACGACGUGGAGCAGCUUCGAGAUGGCCGCCAAGAGUGUGGUGGAGAAAACAAGAUGCUGCACACCAAGAACAGUUCCCCUGCGGAGCAGCUGGGACUGGUGGCUGAGCUGCUGAAGGAGCUGUCUAGCCCCAGUGAGAGGCCAGAGGAGAGGAGGGGAGCCCUGGUGGAGCUGCUGAAGAUAGCCCGGGAGGACAGCCUGGCCG